rnacentral:rRNA from 1 species
CAAUAGCGUACAUUAAAGUUGUUGCAGUUAAAAAGCUCGUAGUUGGAUUUCUGGUAGGAGUGACCGUUCCGAACUUGAUUGUUCGUGUAUUGUGUUUUCUCCAGCCAUCCUUGUGGAGAACUUUUCUUGCAUUAAUUUGUAGGGAUUGGGACCCGCAUCGUUUACUGUGAAAAAAUUAGAGUGUUUAAAGCAGGCAAUCGCUUGAAUACAUUAGCAUGGAAUAAUAAGAUAGGACUUUGGUACUAUUUUGUUGGUUUGCAUACCAAAUUAAUGAUCAACAGGAACAGUUUGAGGAUAUUCGUAUGAACAUGUCAGAGGUGAAAUUCUUGGAUUUUGAUCAGACGAACUACUGCGAAAGCAUUUAUCAAGGAUGUUUUCAUUAA